GCAGUCGACGAACUCUGGUAUUGAUUGGUGCUUGCAUCAUGAUUUACAUUUGAGUGAGUGGCGAACUGGUGAGUAACACGUGGGAAACCUGCCCAGAAGCGGGGGAUAACACCUGGAAACAGAUGCUAAUACCGCAUAACAACUUGGACCGCAUGGUCCGAGUUUGAAAGAUGGCUUCGGCUAUCACUUUUGGAUGGUCCCGCGGCGUAUUAGCUAGAUGGUGGGGUAACGGCUCACCAUGGCAAUGAUACGUAGCCGACCUGAGAGGGUAAUCGGCCACAUUGGGACUGAGACACGGCCCAAACUCCUACGGGAGGCAGCAGUAGGGAAUCUUCCACAAUGGACGAAAGUCUGAUGGAGCAACGCCGCGUGAGUGAAGAAGGGUUUCGGCUCGUAAAACUCUGUUGUUAAAGAAGAACAUAUCUGAGAGUAACUGUUCAGGUAUUGACGGUAUUUAACCAGAAAGCCACGGCUAACUACGUGCCAGCAGCCGCGGUAAUACGUAGGUGGCAAGCGUUGUCCGGAUUUAUUGGGCGUAAAGCGAGCGCAGGCGGUUUUUUAAGUCUGAUGUGAAAGCCUUCGGCUCAACCGAAGAAGUGCAUCGGAAACUGGGAAACUUGAGUGCAGAAGAGGACAGUGGAACUCCAUGUGUAGCGGUGAAAUGCGUAGAUAUAUGGAAGAACACCAGUGGCGAAGGCGGCUGUCUGGUCUGUAACUGACGCUGAGGC
rnacentral:rRNA from 1 species